rnacentral:tRNA from 1 species
GGCUUGGUAGCUCAGUUGGUAGAGCACUUGAUUGAAGCUCAAGGUGUCGGCAGUUCGUUUCUGUCCCAAGCCA